UACGAAGGGGGCGAGCGUUGUUCGGAAUUACUGGGCGUAAAGGGCUCGUAGGCGGCCAACUAAGUCAGACGUGAAAUCCCUCAGCUUAACUGGGGAACUGCGUCUGAUACUGGAUGGCUUGGAUUCGGGAGAGGAAUGCGGAAUUCCAGGUGUAGCGGUGAAAUGCGUAGAUAUCUGGAGGAACACCGGUGGCGAAGGCGGCAUUCUGGACCGAUAUUGACGCUGAGGAGCGAAAGCCAGGGGAGCAAACGGG
rnacentral:rRNA from 1 species